rnacentral:lncRNA from 1 species
AUUUUCAGGGUUCUAUCCACAACAAACCUGGCUCUAAACCCAGUUACACUAAGGGGUUAUGAACUCUGUUUUCUUCCAAGAAAUCUGCAUUAUCAAGAGGAGCUUGGAGACGGGGUAACACUCGUGGCAGAAUUUCAGGCAUCCUUCUAGGAUGUCACUCCUCCUAGAAGCAGCUGUCUAUUGUGCAGCUCUGGUAACACCUUUGUUCCCAAAUUCUCCACUACAGAGGGCAGAAAAACAAGGGAGGGAGGUGGCAUGUGCAGGUCUGAGAAGGCUUUCAUUCUGGAGCACCUGACCCGUCAGCAGCCUGCAUCAUGUCCCAGUAGCGUCCGUUCCUCUCCAUGAGCUGCUGGUGGGUUCCUGCUUCACAGAUGGUGCCUCCUUCCAGAAAAAGGAUUUGGUCAGCCUGCUCCACCAAGCUGAGACACUGGGUGAUGAGAAGCACAGACCUAGAGCCCCGCUCAGGGCUUUUGUACAGGAGCUGCUCCACCUGAGAAAAGACACAGACUCUGUCAAGAACCCAGGGAGACACCUGUGUUUCCAGAGCAGGGGCAGAUCUCACCAGGAUCACUGCCACCUCUGCCAACAACCCCAAGGAGCUGAAGAUUCUUGUUCUGAGUGCUCCUCUGUCCAGCCUUUGAUUUGUUAAGGACUGUUUACAUGAGGUGGCGACAGCAGAAUAAAAGUCAGAGUCCUGUGGUGAAACCCAUAAGGGAAGAGUAAAGGGUAUCAAAUAGUCUCUCCUCUCUACCUAUAAACUGGGGAUU